rnacentral:tRNA from 1 species
GCCCCGGUAGUCUAGUGGUCUAGGAUUCGGCCCUGUCGAGGCCGAGACCCGGGUUCAAAUCCCGGCUGGGGCG